CAUAAUUGCACUUACAUUUCAAGAUUAUCUUGAUACAUGUAUAUCCGAAAUAAUUCAAUAAAUGGUAUCUAUAAUCCAAGUGAUUUAUGAAAAUCAGUAGAAAAGAACAUGACGAUUUGAAAAAAUCUUAAACAUAUUCAUAUAAAUUAUGAUCUAAUAAGUCACCAAAACGCAAUGUUCAACUUGGAUAAAAAGUUUUAAAAAAUAUUCACCUAAUAAAUUUGAGAAUGGUGUUGUUUUUUAUCCAUGUAAUUCACAUAUUCACUUUUCACCAUACAAAGUGGUGUUUAAAUCUAAAGAUUUUGUUAAAGGAACAACAUGCACUAUGAGGAAUAUUUUGUAUUUACGUACUAGUAUUAACUCAGUUUCAAGCUGUGUUUGCAAGUGUUGACAGACUUGAUAUAAAUCUCUACAGAUUAGUUUAAUAAUGAUUAUAUCAUGCACUUGUAAGAAUGUGAAAGAAUAUCACAUUUAAUAUAUUUAUUGUAUACAUUACAUAAUUUGGAUUCGGAUAUCGUGUCUUCAAACAACUGCAUUCACAAAACUUUGUAAUACUUUUCAUAAUACAUGCAUGUUGAUUCAGCUAAAAUAUCAAAUAGAUAUCACAUUAGAAUUAGCCGUUUCAGAAUCUAAAGGACUAUGGGUAAUUUCAUUGUUCGUACCCCAAAAUGAAAAUAA
rnacentral:lncRNA from 1 species